rnacentral:misc_RNA from 1 species
GCUAAAUCAAAACCUCCACUCCAAUCAAAUAUUGCAGAAAACACAUUUAAUAGGCCUAAAACCCACAAACACUAAACAAAGCCCAAGGCCUACAAUUGAGGAAUCCUAGAUCAGGCACAAUGAAGACCAAGGAUGGUAAGCUUGCACCACUUUUCUUCUACACCUAAGAUUGGGACGUCAGCAAGAAGUUCAUACACAGAAUUAAACAGCUCUUCAAGCAUUAGUAGAGCCCGCAGAGCUGUUUAUUGACCUUUAGAAUCUAAGCAAACUAGAAGCAUAACAAUACCCAACAAGAGGGGAUGAAAAGCAAAGCCCUUAUGGAUCCAAGAAUCGCGCACCGUAGUGGAGGCGAAAAUAGAGAAAGAAGAGAAAGAGCCCUUAUAGCAUCUUGUUCUCUUUUGGCCAGAGAGGGAGGCGAUGGUUUAGGAUGGGUUACCGAGACUUGAACCCUCGGGGUCUCUUUUCUUCGGAUCAACUGAUGAAGCUAUAUCUCCUCGGCGAUUCAAAGACACAUACCUAAUCUGCAAGCAAAAGCAAAAUCAGAGAGCACAAAAACCAUUGGCAACCAAGAUUUCCCUCCAUCUUCAUCAUUGCUGCCCACUAGACCAACCAAAAACUAUUUACAACCCAUCCCAGUAUGGGGGAAGGGGACCCACUAACCGAGAAUGGGGAAGGCAGCCUUUCCUUGCCCAGAAGGGCAGGAGAAAACCGUAGAAUACGGCAGGAGUAAGAGCUAACCUUAGAAGAAGAAAAAGCAAAUCUAGAGGAGGUUAGGAGCAAGCCUGUUCGUUCGGCCAAAAGGCUAUUAGCGUUGCUCGAUUCUUU